UGAAGCAACAAAUGCCCUGCUUCCAGGAAAAGCCUCUAAGCAUCAGGUAACAUCAAAUCGUACCCCAAACCGACACAGGUGGUCAGGUAGAGAAUACCAAGGCGCUUGAGAGAACUCGGGUGAAGGAACUAGGCAAAAUGGUGCCGUAACUUCGGGAGAAGGCACGCUGACACGUAGGUGAAGUGAUUUACUCAUGGAGCUGAAGUCAGUCGAAGAUACCAGCUGGCUGCAACUGUUUAUUAAAAACACAGCACUGUGCAAACACGAAAGUGGACGUAUACGGUGUGACGCCUGCCCGGUGCCGGAAGGUUAAUUGAUGGGGUCAGCGCAAGCGAAGCUCCUGAUCGAAGCCCCGGUAAACGGCGGCCGUAACUAUAACGGUCCUAAGGUAGCGAAAUUCCUUGUCGGGUAAGUUCCGACCUGCACGAAUGGCGUAAUGAUGGCCAGGCUGUCUCCACCCGAGACUCAGUGAAAUUGAACUCGCUGUGAAGAUGCAGUGUACCCGCGGCAAGACGGAAAGACCCCGUGAACCUUUACUAUAGCUUGACACUGAACAUUGAGCCUUGAUGUGUAGGAUAGGUGGGAGGCUUUGAAGUGUGGACGCCAGUCUGCAUGGAGCCGACCUUGAAAUACCACCCUUUAAUGUUUGAUGUUCUAACGUGGACCCGUUACCCGGGUUGCGGACAGUGUCUGGUGGGUAGUUUGACUGGGGCGGUCUCCUCCUAAAGAGUAACGGAGGAGCACGAAGGUUGGCUAAUCCUGGUCGGACAUCAGGAGGUUAGUGCAAUGGCAUAAGCCAGCUUGACUGCGAGCGUGACGGCGCGAGCAGGUGCGAAAGCAGGUCAUAGUGAUCCGGUGGUUCUGAAUGGAAGGGCCAUCGCUCAACGGAUAAAAGGUACUCCGGGGAUAACAGGCUGAUACCGCCCAAGAGUUCAUAUCGACGGCGGUGUUUGGCACCUCGAUGUCGGCUCAUCACAUCCUGGGGCUGAAGUAGGUCCCAAGGGUAUGGCUGUUCGCCAUUUAAAGUGGUACGCGAGCUGGGUUUAGAACGUCGUGAGACAGUUCGGUCCCUAUCUGCCGUGGGCGCUGGAGAACUGAGGGGGGCUGCUCCUAGUACGAGAGGACCGGAGUGGACGCAUCACUGGUGUUCGGGUUGUCAUGCCAAUGGCACUGCCCGGUAGCUAAAUGCGGAAGAGAUAAGUGCUGAAAGCAUCUAAGCACGAAACUUGCCCCGAGAUGAGUUCUCCCUGAGACUUAGAGUCUCCUGAAGGAACGUUGAAGACGACGACGUUGAUAGGCCGGGUGUGUAAGCGCAGCGAUGCGUUGAGCUAACCGGUACUAAUGAACCGUGAGGCUUAACCUUACAACGCCGAAG
rnacentral:rRNA from 1 species